UUUGUAUGUAUUAAUUUGCCAUA
rnacentral:siRNA from 1 species